rnacentral:lncRNA from 1 species
AGAAAUUUGGUGGCCGGAGGCGCGCACUGCCGGCCUUUUCUUCUCUUUCUAUUAUCUUGGCUCUUCUUCACUCAUUGACUGAAAUGACUAUUUAUACAUACGGCAAGCACCCAUGUCAUCUAAACUCACGCCACUACUUUGACCCACUAACUAACUACCUAGCUGCAUGCACACACACGCACCACUUCUGCCAUGCAUGCACACACAACGGCCAGCCACACACAUUGGCUUGGUCCGGUUAUUACUCAACUGACUAACAGCACACACGUUCCAGCUUGAGUCGCUUCCAAGUUUCUGCAGGCCUCUAGCUGAAUUGGCGCAUGCCACAACUAAUGCGUCCGAUUCUUGCUCCAUCUCCACCUGCACGCAACUCGGCCAUCGGACUCGCGGAGCUUUAACGCAUGCAUCUAACUACCAUGCAUAAUUAGCUUUGCCUUGUGCACGUGAACACAACCUGACGUGCACACACAGCUGCAGCUCAACUACAAGCAUGAUAUAAACAUAUCUAAUCGUACACACUAAUAACAAGAUUAGUUCUAACAUUCACCUCCCUAAUCUUGUUAACUUAUUUCUUUCUUGAAGCCAAUGAUUGUUCACGUCGUCGAUGCAACACGCAGACGGCCGCAAAUGCCAUCUUGUCACGCCGACUGCCGUCGUUGUUGGCCUCGAUGAGAGUCACUCCUCCCGCGCCUUCACCACGAGCACACCGCCGUGGCAUGCUCGCUGCCGCAUGUUUGCCACCGGUGCCGCAACUCGCCGGUGACUCGCCUUCAUGCUCGCCACCGGUGACACAACUCGCCGAUGACUCGCCUCCAUGUUGUCGACGAUGACGCACCUUAUCGAAGACUCGGACAUGGAACUCCUUAUGGCAAUGGCCUCCACGCAUGGCCAUCACCACCUUGCCGCCGAUGCCGCAACUUACCGGGCAGCACACCCCUCUCCAUCGCUCGUGACGCAACUCGACGAUGAUGGAGACACGCACCGGCCGCUAGCAGCAUCGCGCCGCCAACGGCGUUCACCUUGCGCCGCCAACGUCCCCCUCACAUGGAGUCUGCCGCGCCGCCACCGUCGCCUCGGAUCGACAAGGCUUUGAUACCAAAUGUUGGCGCCGCCUCCCGCAGCGCCGCUUCUUCUUCUUCUACCUCGGUGGCUGCCUCUCACAGCUCACAUAUACAACAAUGGAGGCGCAAGAAAUUUGGUGGCCGGAGCCUCACACUGCCGGCCUUUUCUUCUCUUUCUAUUAUCUUGGCUCUUUUUCACUCAUUGACUGAAAUGACUAUUUAUACACACGGCAAGCACCCAUGCCAUCUAAACUCACGCCACUACUUUGACCCACUAACUAACUACCUAGCUGCAUGCACACACACGCACCAUUUCUGCCAUGCAUGCACACACAACGGCCAGCCACACACAUUGGCUUGGUCCGGUUAUUACUCAACUGACUAACAGCACACACACGUUCCAGCUUGAGUCGCUUCCAAGUUUCUGCAGGCCUCUAGCUGAAUUGACGCAUGCCACAACUAAUGUGUCCGAUUCUUGCUCCAUCUCCACCUGCACGCAACUCGGCCAUCGGACUCGCGGAGCUUUAACGCAUGCAUCUAACUACCAUGCAUAAUUAGCUUUGCCUUGUGCACGUGAA